rnacentral:rRNA from 1 species
GACAGAGGGUGCAAACGUUGCUCGGAUUUACUGGGCGUAAAGCGCAUGUAGGCGGGCAAAUAAGUCGGGUGUGAAAUCCCUGGGCUCAACCUAGGAACUGCAUCCGAAACUGUUUACCUUGAGUAGUGGAGAGGAAAGCGGAAUUCCGGGUGUAGAGGUGAAAUUCGUAGAUAUCCGGAGGAACACCAGUGGCGAAGGCGCUUUCUGGACACUAACUGACGCUGAGAUGCGAAAGCGUGGGGAGCAAACAGG